UACGUAGGGUGCAAGCGUUGUCCGGAUUUAUUGGGCGUAAAGAGCGUGUAGGCGGCUUUACAGGUCCGUUGUGAAAACUCGAGGCUCAACCUCGAGACGCCGGUGGAAACCGUAAGGCUAGAGUCCGGAAGAGGAGAGUGGAAUUCUGGUGUAGCGGUGAAAUGCGCAGAUAUCAGGAAGAACACCCGUGGCGAAGGCGGUCUCUGGGACGGUACUGACGCUGAGACGCGAAAGCGUGGGGAGCGAACAGG
rnacentral:rRNA from 1 species